ACGGACAUGGAUUUGCGAACCACCUUGGAUCGGUCUCUUUUGUUCAUCUAAGAUAUCGAGCCAUCGGUCUAUAGGCUGUCCGGUGAUGACUUCAGUGACAGGUAAAUAAGCUCGGCCGAUCAAAUUCGCACCGACCGGUUCAUCUUCUUUGACUGUGAAUAUGAUUUUGGAGAUUGAGUGUGCGGUGUAGACGUGGAAGGAUUGGAACCAUUUUGGAUGGCGUCUCAUCAUGGUUCGAGCUACUCUUGACCUGUCUAGGUCAAUGGUUGCGUAGAGAUGCCCUCCUAAUAAAUCUGUGCAUGAGCCUGUUAGUCUCUUGAGCUGAGAUUGAAUAUUCUUCCCCCUCGGCUCCUUGUUCCCCUAUUAAUCAUGUGAGUUUUAUUUUACAUUAGUUCGUCUACUUAUUCAUCUAAAUACGUGACCGGUGGUAUCUUUUAAAUUAAAGUAUUUAGCCAUAUCGUUCUUGACAAGAUCAAUUAUAGAAUUACUACUUUUGAUUAUUUCUAUUUUAUAUUAUCUUAAUAUAUAUUUCGCCUAUUACUUAUUUAGCUAUAAGAAGCUUAAUUUUUUUCAAAAUAAUAUUUAAAUAUAUAGUUCACAGAAUAAAACAAUAAAUUAAUAAUAAACUCAUUACUUCUUUGAAAAUGCUUAUAUGUUAAUUAAUGUUAAAACUACAACUAACUUUUUAUAAUUAUGUUGAAAUUCCGACAAUAUGGAUCACUUAAGGGUUUAAUUGUUUUUUUGUUGAAAAUUAUUGAAGGGUUACCUUGCCGCAUAAACUAAAUCUUGCGCGUUGAUGCAACCUAUCGAUCCUAUAUAUCUUCACUUCAAGAGUUCCAUGAAGCAGCAACUGUUCCGCCAUUUUUUUUUUCACCUAGAAAUUAUUCUAUUCGCAGUUUUAACUAUAUUUGUAUUUUUUUUUUCUUGAAAAGUGGAUGACUAUUUCUUGUGUGGAUGACUCAUAAGCAAAAUAACAAACCACAAUGGGUCUAGAAAAUUUCCCUUUUGAUCGAGGAUCUUUUUGAAAAGGCUCCAAACCGCUUAUCAAUUAAAGUAUGUAGACAUAAAGUUAGACUAUAAGUAUAUAUAAGGAGAAAAUCGAAUUUGAAAUUGAAACGUUUGGAUUAGGAUUGUGGAUUACUUGAGGAAACUGCAUGGGAUUACAAGAAGAAAAAUAUGAAGUCUAUUAAAGGGGAUUGAAACAAUAGGUCUUCUUACGUAAACCUUUUCUUGUAGGCCAAAACGGAAUAUUCUUCUAUUAGUCUGACGACUCACUUCUACAAUGUUUUUUCUUCAUCUAUGAUGUCCACUGUUUAAUCCAUUCCAUAUGCCAUUAUUAUUCUAAAUUUUAUUUAUUGAAGAGACCAUUAAACAAUAAAUUCUUCAUUUACAGAACCAAAUUUGUUUUACGUCCAAAUUUAUGGGCUUCCAACUUAAAAUUAAUUAACGUAUUUUUCUUCGGGCUUUGCUUUUAUAAAGCCCAAUUAAAAUUUGACCUUCCAAGUCGUCGAUCCUUUCAUUGUAUACGAAAAACUUCUUCAUCGACUUUUUUCUUAAAACUUAUUCAUCGUUUUAAGUUUUUUCAUAGGCACCUUGAAUGUCCUCAUCGUCAUAUAUAAUAUCAUUGAGAGAAAUAGUAAAGAUAACUGCUGCACCACAUCUUCUUUAAAAAAAGUUAUCAUUUUCAAAAUUUACCAAAUCCUACAGUAAGCAGAGUGAAGUGAAUUCUUUUCACUUAAAAAAAAAAACAAUUAGUUUUCUAAAGAUUUGAAAGAUAUUUUAUAAAAUGCAAAAACAUUGAGUUUUUUCUCAAAAUAACUCAUAUUAUUCUCAAAAUUACAGAUUUCAGAACAAAAUUACAUCUAGUACGUCAAGUAUAGAAAAGAUCAAAAGAAAGAUAUUCGUGCAUGUGCCAGCCAUUGUGAUUAGGCACGCUUUUUUCUGUUUCUGUCAACGCACAUUUGUUUCCUUUUGUUACUGUCACGAUUUCAUAAAUUCGAGAAUUUCCAAGCUAAGUAAUCCUCUCGAGUAACAGAGAGAACACUGUUUGGUUCCUUUUUGGUUGAUUAGUGGAUAGCAAAACAAUUUGAGAAUAGACAUAUAUAAAUAAUAUAAAUAAAUAAAGAACAAUAAAGCAUUGAUGAAUAGAUGGUAUAUGGAUGUUUUGUGUCGGCAGUGUCCAUGGAUAAGUUGAAUUGCGUCGCCAUCUCAAUUAUUGAUAAUGUGAAAAAGUGUGAAGAAGUUUAAGUGUUAUCCAUAUGUAUGAUUAGAAAGGGUUAAUGUACAUACUACUACUAGUCUACUAGCUUCAAACAAAAGCCAAUUUGGAUAUAAAUUAUAUAAUCAUUAUAGAUAGAGUCAUAAAGAUGCUCUGAAUUGUUAUGUAUAAUAUAUUUGUAUCGAAUUUGUGUUUCUUAAAACUUUUUUUAAAGACUAACACCAGUGGAUUGGCAUGUCGGUGCUCGGGGUGGCGCCGCCGAAUCUAGCUUUCAACUAAAUCGAUUCAGAGAAAGAAAUUUUCUAAAUGAUAUAUGUAUUAUUGUUGUAACAUUUUUAUAUAAGCAUGCAUGUAUCGUUGCAUCGACAUUCAUAUAUCGUGGACAUAACAUAACAGAAUGCAGAAGAUUGGUUAGUCAAUGCUAACACAUGUAAACCGGAAUUACGUACACAUUAUCAUAGUAUGCGAUGCAAAUUACAUCACCUACGUAGUGAGGAUGGGAGGGAGAUAAUUAGAUUUUUCACCUAAAACUUUUGCGUUAGUAUCAGGAAAGAGCUCAGCACCAGCAAGACUUGUUACUUCCCCGUUGCUACCGAUGCUAAUCGGAUAACUAAGCAAAUGCCCUGGUAGAUCGUCAUCUCGAGGGUACUCUUGUGCUGAGUAUAGUCCCCAUAGCUCGUCUGCCUUUGCAUUUACCAUUCUUAUACACUCUUCGCUUUCAGGAAAUUGGAAUACGUUAGUUAUAAUCCGUAAAUGUUCAAGCCAUAGUGAUAUCCUAAAGCUAAAGACUUGGCCUGUCGGCCUCAUUAAUUGAUUGGUAGAUAGCAAAUGGUUAGGUUGGUAUGCCCCCAUUGCGAUCUCUGAGUCUCGGCCUCCAUCCAUUGACCUCUGGUUAAUAUUAGCUGAUCCUAUUAUUAUGUACUCAUCAUCAACUGCAUAGAGAUGGAAACUUUGUAACGAGAGCUUGUGAUUGUUAUAUAGGUUUUUUACGGGCUAACUAGGUCUUGAUGGCACACUAAAAAAGACAAGUUCUAAACUAAUUUUUCUUGCCAUGCAAGGUAGAUUUGACUUACCAAUCAUCAUUUUAGAGUGGACAUAGAUCAUGAACCGACGAGAUUCUUGAGCUCUUGCGUAAUCAGAAUUAGCCUCUGGUUUUUCCGGAGGCCAGUACUCACCCGCCUUGUUAACUUCCCGGUUCCCGAGGCAAAAAAACGAUAGGUAGUCUCUAGGGUUUGCAUCUAAACCUUUCCUGCGAAGAGCAAUGAUGAUAUCUGUAUACAUCAUCUCCAUUGUUCUCCUUUGCCAGUCUAGUAUUGCUUGAACCGAUGCAGAUCCAGGUUUUCCUUCAGGCCACAAUGGAAUCACAAUAUACACUGAAAACCGCUCGCCUGCCUCGAUCUUGCUCACGAUCUUGAGAGAAAUCUCUUUGGGAAUGAGGUGCAAAGCGUUGAUCUCGUUCAGAUUAACGUCUCUAGAGCUCCAUCCAAAGGAGCUUCCGAGGAAGUAUUGGUUCUCAAUGUAGAUAAAGUGUUUGGCUCUCCUUAUGGCGUUGAUGUAAGCGUCUUGUAUGCUUCUUUCGAUCACGUUGUCUUUUCCAGUGAUAACGCUUGAAGCUUCACGUGGAUCCUCUGGGAACCCUUCAGCCGCACCAUCAUCUAUCGACCGGAAAAGUUGAACAGUCCAACCUUCUGCAUUGUCUGAUUCCACAAUUGGCAAUGGCGGAACCGUGAUCUCUGAGAGCCGUGCCAUCGAUAUAAGAUACCUUAUACCACUGCCUGUAAUUUAACACACAAGAUGAUUGAUUUCUUUGAGUUUCUAGAAUGACUUUUGUUUAGGGUUAGUUACCAUAAUUUCAAACAUUAUUUUAAGAGUUUGAUUUACAUCCGUUAUUCUUUUUCAACAUUAGAAAACAGUCGCAAAAUAUAUUUCUUUAAAUGUAUUUUCACACGUUUAAUUUAAAGAAUUUUUUUUGGUUAACCUUCAAACAAAAAAAAAAAAAAUCUGCAAUUAAAGAAAAAAUCUGUGUAAGGUUUAAAAUGGUGUGGGUUUAUUAGGAGAAAAUCACCAUUUUAUAAAAUGUAAACCUAAACGUUAUAACACAUAUAAUUUUUUAUUUUUUUUGGUAAAGUCUUUAUAACAUGAAAACUAAAAAACAAACCGUUGAAGCCUAGUGUUAGCUAGUUGUUUAUUUUCAUACCUUGUUUCAUCCAUCUCUGCUCAAAAUUAUACAAAACAUCCCACGCCGCAGGACCAUCGAGCUUGCAGUGAAUAUCGUGCCAUGGCUCACGUGGACCGCCUUUUUUAAUCGAUGCGCCAUCAAAGUUCGGCUGGUGAAAGUCAGUGGAAUGAACAUUGUUCAAAGUACCGAACAAAGGAUGCUCCUCAGUAUCGUACCUCCCAUCACAAAGAUCAAUCCCUCCAAGAAAACUAACUAUCCUUCUCUUCGUUUUCGAUCCGUCCACUUCAGCGUCCACCACAACGGUUUUCUGAUGGUGAGUGAACAUCGCAGCCACCUCAAACCCUUGAACAAUGCUCCCACCGUUAUCCGGAUUCCGCGGACAGAGAACGCAACGCACUUUCGUGUUCUUGAAGUAAUCGUAAGUUUCUUGAUCAUGAGUCAUCAUCAAGCCGUCUCUCUUAAAUGCUUCGUUAGAAGUUCUAUCGUCCCAAACAAGCAUAAGCACGGUCACGUUUUCUUCGGCUUUCUUCUUCAGCAACUCUCCUAACUUCAUGUUCCCUCCUGGUCUCGACCGUUUAGGAUCCCUGAUCAGUGUUAUGUCAGGGUAAACCGACCAACCCGUGAUGUAUAUCAAAUGUUUUGCAUUCCAUAUGGCAUCGAAGAUGUCUUCCCAACACCGAUGAUGCUUGUAAAUCGCUUGUCCUCCCAGAUUAAUGUCCGGGAAAUCGUCGGGAAUAUGAGCGUCUUGGUAAAGCGUAACCUUGCAACCUUCUCUUUGGUUGAAAAAUACGUUAGGAACUCCUUUGAAAGAAGGUAAUAUGAUACCUUUGUUCCAGUUCACGUCCUGUUUUAUGUUAUUGAACUUCACACGGACAUGGAUUUGCGAACCACCUUGGAUCGGUCUCUUUUGUUCAUCUAAGAUAUCGAGCCAUCGGUCUAUAGUCCGUCCGGUGAUGACUUCAGUUACAGGUAAAUAAGCUCGGCCGAUCAAAUUCGCACCGACUGGUUCAUCUUCUUUGACUGUGAAUAUGAUUUUGGAGAUUGAAUGUGCGGUGUAGACGUGGAAGGAUUGGAACCAUUUUGGAUGGCGUCUCAUCAUGGUUCGAGC
rnacentral:lncRNA from 1 species